rnacentral:rRNA from 1 species
AUGUGCCGAGAGGUGAAACUUUUAUGGCCUGUGUAUGAGCUCGCGUCUGAUUAGCUAGUUGGUGGGGUAAAGGCUCACCAAGGCGACGAUCAGUAGCUGGUCUGAGAGGAUGAUCAGCCACACUGGAACUGAGACACGGUCCAGACUCCUACGGGAGGCAGCAGUGGGGAAUUUUCCGCAAUGGGCGAAAGCCUGACGGAGCAAGACCGCGUGGGGGAUGAAGGUUUGUGGAUUGUAAACCCCUUUUGAUUGGGAAGAAUAACUGACGGUACCAAUCGAAUAAGCCUCGGCUAACUCCGUGCCAGCAGCCGCGGUAAUACGGAGGAGGCAAGCGUUAUCCGGAAUUAUUGGGCGUAAAGCGUCCGUAGGUGGUUUAGUAAGUCUGCUGUUAAAGCGCGGGGCUUAACCCUGUAUCGGCAGUGGAAACUACUAGACUAGAGUGUGGUAGGGGUAGAGGGAAUUCCCAGUGUA